AAUGAUACUUCUGCGAAAGCAGCCCGCGAUGUGCAUGCGGGAUACGGGGGUUACGGGCUGGAACUCUUAUGUCCGCGACACUGUAU
rnacentral:sRNA from 26 species